rnacentral:lncRNA from 1 species
GAAAAUCGGAAAAGAAAAACUUAUCCCUAGAGUUGUCUCCCAUAUUCAGAUGGUCCGCUUACCACCAGUGAAUUACUGAGAAUGAAUAUAACUGGUUAGUUUCCAUUCUUAUUAUAAUUUUUUUAUAAAAUUGUUAAAACCUAUUUUUAUAAGUUGUACAUUAUUUUCCACUGCUAAUUGUUAAUUUCUGAUAUACUGUCACAUAUGCAUGAGUCUAAUUUGUUAAUCUCCUUUUAAAACACCGAUCUAUCCCCCUUUCAAUAAAAUGUUCAUACACUUCUCGCUGAUAGAUAAAAAAUCAUGCAAUUUUCGGAAACAUUCCAAUUUGUAUUUAAAGAAUGUAUCGAAAUCGCUAGUAAACAUUUGUUUCAUCCACAACUGGUGUAGUUCAGAUCGCAUCUUCAAUUUACUAAAAUGUCUGAAAUGUUUCCCAUGCACGUCAUAAAACAAAUUGAGAGAGAUGAUGCAUAAUCUACGUUCAAUAACCAAUGGUAUGCAUAGUUGUUUUAAAACAUACCAGAACAAGGCACUCUACAUUAUGAGAAAAUUUAUGUUAUUUGGAGCUGACGAUAACUACUUUUAUUACCUGUACUUACUUUCAACAAAGAAAUUGA